rnacentral:rRNA from 1 species
GACGAACGCUGGCGGCGUGCUUAACACAUGCAAGUCGAACGGAAAGGCCCUGCUCUUGUGGGGUGCUCGAGUGGCGAACGGGUGAGUAACACAUGAGUAACCUGCCCUUGACUUUGGGAUAACUUCAGGAAACUGGGGCUAAUACCGGAUAGGAGCUCCUGCUGCAUGGUGGGGGUUGGAAAGUUUCGGCGGUUUGGGAUGGACUCGCGGCUUAUCAGCUUGUUGGUGGGGUAGUGGCUUACCAAGGCUUUGACGGGUAGCCGGCCUGAGAGGGUGACCGGCCACAUUGGGACAGGGGUACGGCCCAGACGGCUACGGGAGGCAGCAGUGGGGAAUAUUGCACAAUGGGCGGAAGCCGGAUGCAGCAACGCCGCGUGCGGGAUGACGGCCUUCGGGUUGUAAACCGCUUUCGCCUGUGACGAAGCGUGAGUGACGGUAAUGGGUAAAGAAGCACCGGCUAACUACGU